UGUCCCCCAACAUUCAUUUUCCUGGUCACUGCUACAAUUUCAACUCUCUUGACUGCAACAAUUCCAACUCUCUCACCUUUAUCACAGCACUGCACUUAUUGGGGUAAGUUACUUUGGAUGUCUUUGUAUGU